UAUGCUUAGUAUCAUGUGUAGGAGUAGAGUAGUUUAUCCAUAUGUGAUACCGGUGACCUGACUAGUCGGUUCUCGUACUUUAUUUCGGUGACCUGAUUGGUCGGUUCUCGUACUUCGUUUCGGUGACCUGAUUGGUCGGUUCUCGUACUUCGUUUCGGUGACCUGAUUGGUCGGUUCUCGUACUUCGUUUCGGUGAUCUAGUUGAUCGGUGCUUUUAUCUUAUAUCUGUUGACCUGGUUGGUCGGUUGUUGCAUUAUGUAUUGGGUUGGUCUGUUUCUUGACUUCUGUCGUUUGAUGACCUUUGAGGUCGGUGUACCCUGAGGGGUAGGAUUGUCGGCCAUGGCCGACGGUAGUUCUAGAUUAUAUACUCAGAUGACUUGUUGAUCGAUUCUUGCAUAUAUACAGUAGUUGACCUAUUGAUCAGUAUCUACAUACUUUUGGUAGGAUGUUGAGUUGUUCCAUCCCAGUUGACUUGAUUAGUCAGUACUUACAUACAGUUGAGAGGAUGUAGAGUCGUUCCAUCCUAGUUGACUUGAGUGGUCGGUUCUUGUGCUUCUUUAUAGUUUGAUGACCUAUUGGUCGGCUUGCCCCG
rnacentral:lncRNA from 1 species